rnacentral:rRNA from 1 species
AACGUAGGGGACAAGCGUUAUCCGGAUUUACUGGGCGUAAAGCGCCCGUAGGCGGCCUGACAAGUUGGACGUGAAAGCUCCUGGCUUAACUGGGAGAGGCCGUUCAAAACUGUCAAGCUAGAGUCUGGAAGAGGAGAGCGGAAUUCCCGGUGUAGUGGUGGAAUGCGUAGAGAUCGGGAGGAACACCAGUGGCGAAGGCGGUUGCCUGGGGCUUUGCUGACGCUGAUGCGCGAAAGCGUGGGGAGCGAUCCGG